rnacentral:rRNA from 1 species
UGUAAGCGUAUACCAAAGUUGUUGCAGUUAAAACGCUCGUAGUCGGAAUUUGGCAGUUCCGGAUGUGUGCACGUCGUGUGCGCACUUCGCGGGGAUUGCUUUUGUGGUCUUGCGUAGGAUGAGGCACUUUUAUUAGUGAACGUCCUCACGCAACCACUUUUUACUGUGAGAAAAUCAGAGUGCUCAAAGCAGGCAUUUGCCGUGAAUGUAUUAGCAUGGAAUAAUAGAAUAGGACUUGGUUCUAUUUUGCUGGUUUGUUGGGACUGAGUAAUGAUUAAGAGGGACAGUUGGGGGCAUUUGUAUUUCGGUGCUAGAGGUGAAAUUCUUAGAUUACCGAAAGACAAACUGCUGCGAAAGCGUCCGCCAAGGAUGUUUUCAUUGA